GUGGGGAAUCUUGCGCAAUGGGCGAAAGCCUGACGCAGCCAUGCCGCGUGAAUGAUGAAGGUCUUAGGAUUGUAAAAUUCUUUCACCGGGGACGAUAUUGACGGUACCCGGAGAAGAAGCUCCGGCUAACUUCGUGCCAGCAGCCGCGGUAAUACGAAGGGGGCUAGCGUUGCUCGGAAUUACUGGGCGUAAAGGGCGCGUAGGCGGACAGCUUAGUCAGAGGUGAAAGCCCAGGGCUCAACCUUGGAAUUGCCUUUGAUACUGGCUGUCUUGAGUUUGGGAGAGGUGAGUGGAACUCCGAGUGUAGAGGUGAAAUGCGUAGAUAGUCGGAAGAACACCAGUGGCGAAGGCGACUCACUGGCCCAAUACUGACGCUGAGGCGCGAAAGCGUGGGGAGCAAACAGGAUUAGAAACCCGAGUAGUCC
rnacentral:rRNA from 1 species